CAAUAGCGUAUAUUAAAGUUGUUGCAGUUAAAAAGCUCGUAGUUGGAUUUGUGGCGUACGGUGUGUUCCGGGCACUUGUUGUCUGAGUAACCUGCUGUUGCCAUCCUUGGGUGGAACCUGUGUGGCAUUAGGUUGUCGUGCAGGGGAUGCCCAUCAUUUACUGUGAAAAAAUUAGAGUGUUCAAAGCAGGCUUAUGCCGUUGAAUAUAUUAGCAUGGAAUAAUGAGAUAGUACUUUUUUGCUAUUUUGUUGGUUUGCGCAAGAAGGUAAUGAUUAAUAGGGACAGUUGGGGGUAUUCGUAUUCCAUUGUCAGAGGUGAAAUUCUUGGAUUUUUGGAAGACGAACUACUGCGAAAGCAUUUACCAAGGAUGUUUUCAUUAA
rnacentral:rRNA from 1 species